rnacentral:misc_RNA from 1 species
AAUCACGAAUCAGGCCGCCCGGGCCGCGUGGUCGCUGGCCGGCCCCGCCCCCGCACCGAGGAUGUCAACUACAGGCCUGGCCCGGGUGUGCAUCCGCGGGACCUUCACGGUCAGCACGCCGUGGGUGUACGCCGCCGAGAUGCCGUCCACGUCCACCAUCCCCGGCAGCCGAAACUUCCGGUCGAAGCUCCUCGCGUCCGCGACGGCGCCGCCGGUGCCGGUGCCGGCGUCCAGCUCGGUGCGGAUGACGAGGUACCUGGCGUCCUCCACCUCCACCCUGAUCUCCUCCUUGCGCACUCCUGACGGCACACAGAAGAAGAAGGCCUUGCUCAGCAGUCAGCUCAGCUGGCUGGCUGCAAAGACCGACGACGGCGAGCAGCACGCGCGAGUCAGGGAUCGAGUGGGGUGGGUUACCCGGGAGGCUUGCGGAGAAGAGGUGCGCGGCGGCGGUCUCCUCCCACCUGACAUGGUUGGCCGGCCGCGGCGGCGGGAGCAGCUCCGGCUGGGAUGAGAGGAGGGAGAAGAGGCGCCACUGCCAUUGCCACUGCCGGAAUCCUGAAUGCUGCUCCUCCAUUGGGUAAGAAUAAUCCAUAGCGAGCGGAACCUGUUCGGCCGUCGGGUUGCUGCCUUCAAAUAGUGUGCGUGAGUGUGACGGUGACACUAGCUGCUACUCUGGCUGCAAUUGGAUGCAACUUGCUGCUCCAAGUUGCGGGGGCUGGUCCUCAUGUGGGGCCCCCAUGUGCGCAUAAACAUAAACAAAGCAUAUCCAUUGAUUAAUUCGAUGGAGACCGGAGAGGAGG